UUUAUCAAAAACAUGGCUCCUUGUAAUUUUGUAGAUAAGAGAGUCGGACCUGCCCGGUGAUUUUUAUUUAACGGCCGCGGUACCCUGACCGUGCGAAGGUAGCAUAAUAAUUUGCCUUAUAAUUGGAGGCUUGUAUGAAUGGUUUGACUUGAGCAAAUCUGUCUCUUUAUAAUUUUAUAGAAUUUUAUUUUUAGGUGAAGAAGCCUAGAUAUAAUUAAUAGACAAGAAGACCCUAUCGAGCUUUAAAGAAAUUAGUAGAGUUAAUUAUUAGAUAUACAUAAAAAUUUUUAACUACUAAAAAUUUUGGUUGGGGCGACAGAGGAACAAAUAAAGCUUCCUAGGUUUAAAAGUACUUACGUGUAUUGAUCCAAUAUUUUUGAUUAAAGGAAUUAGUUACCGUAGGGAUAACAGCAUUAUCUUCUUUGAGAGUUCUUAUCGAAAAGGGGGUUUGUGACCUCGAUGUUGGACCAGAAUGUCCUAAAGAUGCAGAAGUCUUUAAGGGUUGGUCUGUUCGACCAUUAAAAUUCUACGUGAUCUGAGUUCAGACCGGCGUGAGCCAGGUCAGUUUCUAUCUUUAAUUUUUUAUGCAAGCUUAGUACGAAAGGAUCGGUUUGUAGCAUUAAAUGUUAUAAGUGAAGUAAUAUAAUUAGUGGAUGUUAAAUUAGCAGAUUAAAUGCACUGAUUUAGGAUCAGUCGGUAUAGGUGAAAA
rnacentral:rRNA from 1 species